AUUGAACGCUGGCGGCAGGCCUAACAUAUGCAAGUCGAGCGGAUGAGGAAAGCUUGCUUUUCGAUUCAGCGGCGGACGGGUGAGUAAUGCCUAGGAAUCUGCCUGUUAGUGGGGGAUAACUCGGGGAAACUCGGGCUAAUACCGCAUACGUCCUACGGGAGAAAGUGGGGGAUCUUCGGACCUCACGCUAACAGCUGAGCCUAGGUCGGAUUAGCUAGUAGGUGAGGUAAUGGCUCACCUAGGCGACGAUCCGUAACUGGUCUGAGAGGAUGAUCAGUCACACUGGAACUGAGACACGGUCCAGACUCCUACGGGAGGCGGCAGUGGGGAAUAUUGGACAAUGGGCGAAAGCCUGAUCCAGCCAUGCCGCGUGUGCGAAGAAGGUCUUCGGAUUGUAAAGCACUUUAAGUUGGGAGGAAGGGUAUUCACCUAAUACGUGGGUACUUUGACGUUACCAACAGAAUAAGCACCGGCUAACUCUGUGCCAGCAGCCGCAGUAAAAC
rnacentral:rRNA from 1 species